GUGCAGCCAAUUAAGCCGACCAGGUUCCUUUCUUCGUGGGGUUCUGGUGUGCAAUGGUUGCAAAUAGUAUCCUCCUUGGUAGUGUAUGCAGCCUGUUGAAAGUGCAGGUUGCCCAAAGGGACCUUGGAGACAGUU
ensembl:snoRNA SNORA70 Small nucleolar RNA SNORA70